rnacentral:lncRNA from 1 species
AUGAUAGCUCCGCUUGACCGGGCGUGCCUAGGAGAAGGGCGCAACUGCCAUGUCCACCUCUUGCUUGGGCUCCAAGGCAGCGCCGGCGCUGCCGCUGUAGUACAAGGCGCUCUGCGCCAGUGCGCCGCUGACGAACAAUGCGGCGGCUUCGGUGUGGCCGUCGAGGAGAGGAUGGUCGGCGAGGAGGAGUUGGCUAGGGAUACCUACUCCCUGAUGCACGAGUCCCAGCUUGUGUUGACCUCCGCUGCCUUCCGCGGCCAGUGCUCCCCCGCCACGGCGUACUGCUGCUGCAGCACCAUCGCCGCCACCAAGUCUACCUUGCUGGCUUGCCCGAACGCGAAGGCGGUGAGGAAGGUCGGUGGCUGUGACAGCCCUAUCCCCAUCACGCCCCCGUCCGCCUUCAUGGCAUCGAUCAAGUUCCGCAAUGACAAAUGCCCACUGAUGCUGGCCAAGAUGCCAAUCGGGGUACUCAGUUUGCCUUUUCAGUCCAUCCUCUUCGCCGGUGGCAACCCCCAUGAGCUUCAAUUCAACCUCUCCACCUCCUCUAAGCCGCAGCCCGGUGACUUCUCAUCCUUUGCUCCUUACUACCCCUGCCCCUGCCCCUGCCCCUGCCUUCGUAAGGUUAGCGAGGUCUCAGACAGCGACGACCAUGAGCACGAGCUGAACAACAAGGCAUUCUCGUUUAGCAGAAAA